CCGCUGCGGCCGCGCUGCGGGCCGUUGCCGCCCGCGAUUUCAAAUCCCAACCGUCGCCGCGGCGGGCGGCGCCUCGCGCCCCUCCCUCCCCCUCGCACUGAGGUGGGCAGCCACGUUCUGUCUCCUUCCCUUCCCUUUCCUUCCUUUCCCUCCCCUCCCUCCCUCCGGCGGCCGCGGGCGUUGUCGGCGGCGCCGCCCGCCCCCACUCCGCCCCGCUCCGCCCGCGGGAGCCCCGCGCUCCCUCUCCGGCGCUGCCGCCGCCGCCUGCCGCCGCCGCGCCAUGUUCCAGCUGCUGCGGGGCUUCGCGCUGCCCGGCGCCGCCUGCGACAGCGGCAGGGACGCCGACUCGCGCUACGCCAACCUCUUCAGGAAGCUAGACCUCAACGAAGAUGGGCGGGUGGACAUCGCCGAGCUCCAGACGGGCCUGCGGGCCAUGGGCAUCCCCCUGGGCAAGGAGGCGGAGGAGAAAAUUUUUAAAGCUGGAGAUACUAACCAGGAUGGGCAGCUAGAUUUUGAGGAAUUUAUGCAGUAUCUUAAAGAUCAUGAGAAAAAAAUGAAACUGGCAUUUAAGAGCCUGGACAAAAACAAUGAUGGCAAAAUUGAAGCAUCAGAAGUUGUCCAGUCCCUCAAGAUAUUGGGUAUAAACAUUUCAGAAAAACAGGCAGAAAAGAUCUUGCAAAGUAUCGAUGCUGAUGGGACAAUGACGGUAGACUGGAAUGAGUGGAGAGAUCACUUUAUGUUUAACCCAGCUACAGACAUUGAAGAAAUAAUUCGAUAUUGGAAACAUUCCACUGUGUUGGAUAUUGGAGAUAGUCUGACCAUUCCAGAUGAAUUCACAGAAGAAGAGAAAAAGACUGGACAGUGGUGGAAACAGCUACUUGCAGGAGGAGUGGCUGGUGCUGUCUCUCGAACAGGUACAGCGCCAUUAGAUCGUCUUAAAGUGAUGAUGCAGGUUCAUGGUUCAAAAUCAAACAAAAUGAAUAUAGCGAGUGGUUUUAAGCAAAUGGUGAAAGAAGGUGGUAUCCGAUCUCUUUGGAGGGGAAAUGGUGUAAAUGUUGUGAAAAUAGCUCCUGAAACAGCUAUUAAGUUCUGGGCUUAUGAACAGUAUAAGAAGCUACUAACCAAGGAUGAUGGAAAGUUAGGCACCAUUGAAAGAUUUAUAUCUGGUUCUUUGGCUGGGGCAACAGCACAAACCUCUAUUUAUCCCAUGGAGGUUUUAAAGACCAGACUGGCUGUGGGUAAAACAGGGCAAUAUUCUGGGAUGUUUGACUGUGCUAAGAAGAUUUUAAAAAGAGAAGGUGUAAAGGCCUUCUACAAAGGUUAUAUUCCUAAUAUUCUAGGGAUAAUUCCUUAUGCUGGCAUUGACCUUGCUGUUUAUGAGCUCUUAAAGACUACAUGGCUAGAACACUAUGCGUCAAGCUCUGCUAACCCAGGUGUUCUUGUAUUGUUGGGAUGUGGCACUGUUUCCAGCACGUGUGGGCAGUUAGCCAGCUACCCUCUUGCUCUUGUCAGAACACGCAUGCAGGCUCAAGCCUCAGUGGAAGGUGCUCCACAGCUAAACAUGGUUGCUCUCUUUCAAAGAAUUAUUACUACAGAAGGCAUACGAGGACUUUACAGGGGCAUAGCCCCUAAUUUUAUGAAGGUGCUUCCAGCUGUCAGCAUCAGCUAUGUUGUGUAUGAAAAAAUGAAGCAGAACUUGGGAAUAGCAUGAAGUGAAGGAAAAAGCUGUAGCAUCUGAAAGCUUGCUUGCGAAGAUGCCUUGUUGCUUCGUCACGGCGUAACUUGGGGGCUGUGGUACUCUUCUUCCCUCUCUCCAGAACGAAUGCUCUCCCAUCGCAGACCUGUGCGGUGCUGAUCAGCCAACUCUCCCCUGCCAGUUCACCAGAUUUACCCGGUUACUGGACCUGGCAGGUGAUGUUUGUUCAGCGAGUGAUGGCUCAGCUACAUCUACACCCUGAAAAUGGCCCGGGAGCCUUCCAGAUCCUCUAGAAUGCACAUCCUGCCAGAGGAAAUCUUAUACUUAGACACAUUUUAUUUAAAGAAUGUUUUACUUCUGCAAACCUGCAGCACAGUUACAUCAUAUGCUUUUCCUUGCAGAGGAUUGAAGGCAGUCAAGCUAGAACAAAUGCCCUGACAGAUCUGCUCUGCUUCUGUCUUUGGGUGAUCAUUUCUGUGGGAUACAGUUAUUUUGCCGGACUGGAGUUCAUAUUACCUUGGCAAGCUCUUUAAGAGCUCCCAAAGCCAUUGUGAAACCCUAGCUGACAGCUACUGGAUACAGCCGGAUGUGUCUGAGGGAUCCUGUCUCAUGUUCAUAUUCAUUCGCAAUAGCAGACAAAUUAUUGAAGAAUUCUGGUCAGUGAUCCAGCCUCAUUGACUUUGACUGUGAGAUAAGCAGGCUACCGAAGAAAUGCUGGAUGCUGGCCACCUCCCUAUCACUCACGUGCCGCUGAAAAGGACAGACUCAAGGCGCAGCUCUGUCUAGGAGUCACCUUAUUCCGUGUUUUCAAAGGGCAGGAAAAAACAAUUGGUGGAGACACAAGACUGCAUAUUCCCUAUUCACUCGUAGACUGCAUGCAACUGAAUUUUCUUUCCAAUAUAAUCAAGUGGGUCUAAUUGAGACAUGCUGAGCAUUAGCUCCAUGCUGGCUCAGCCAACACGCAGGCCUUUAUAACCCACAAAUGAAGACAGUUCUUUCCUUUUGCUUACAUCACUUUCUAUUAAUCAAAAAUACACUCAAAUGCUACAGGCAGAAGGCAGGAAAACUUUAAGCACCAGAACUGAUGAACCUGUCAGUGAACAAAGGAACAAGUAAGGAAAGGUGGUGAUGAAAGAGGCUCUUUUGCAAAGAGCUCUAGCAGCUUUGUUAUCUUUGCUCAGCACCUCAUCCGAAAGGGUGGUAUGACGGGGAGUCAUAGGUGCUGCUACAGCUCUGAUAGCAGUUGAAGAAGAGGAAUGUGUGUACACGUGUGCUUUGAUUUCAUUUUUUUUUUUAAUUCUGAACAAUAUAAGUAAUUUAAACCCUGCAGUUGUGGUGACAGUGGGGGAUACAGUUAUUUCAGAUGACUUGAAAAUUUGCCCUUAUAAAACAAAUUGAGUCUUUCUUUUUAAACAGUAACAAAAAAGGAUGCUGGAAGUUGCUCCUUGAUAGGAUGUAGCACAGGGAAAGAGUAAAGAAAAUAAAAAGAUUUAUGAUGUCAUCUUCAGCGAGGAGACAGUUGUCUCCAGAAAGGAGGAAAAAAAAAGCAAAAUCUAUUUUCAUGUGUGUUUUCAUCCUUCAGACUUGCUGUUCCUUUUUUUUUUUUUUUUUUAAUUAUGUAGUUGCCUUGCAGCAUUUUGACUGCAGGAUGGUAAAUCAGAGGUUUUACCGAUCUGAAGCUAAAGCUACUUCAGUGAAUGGCGUAAUGAUGUGUUAAUAAAAAUGUAUGUGAAAUAGAUUGAGCCUUUUGAGCAAUCUAAACUGAGAUCUGAUGUCAGGUGCACGAAUUCGUCUGUGCUAAUGAAAUUAUGGAGAUGGACUAAGGUGACUUUUAAACUGGCCCAUUUUUCAAUCCAGAGCAUCUUCCAAUCAGAAAGAUUUAAGAGCAAUUUUUGGAGUAUGAGGAAAGGGCAAUGAUAGAAAUAGCAAAAAAACUCCAUUAAGUACUUAGCAGCUGGUUCAUUUGAAAUAUCUGAUAUUUAAGCUUCAGAGUUUUUUUUUAAGUGACUUUUUUGCCAUUAAAAGUAUAAUCAUCAGGAAAAUGAAAGAAAAGCUUUGCAUGUGUUAACAGCAAAAAUAUAAAUCAAUGUAAAAGCAGCUCUUGAAGCAAAACAUAUUUAGGAAUAAUGGAAAAACUGAACUUACAGUAAGUGAUCAUGGACAAUAUAGGAAGUUGAAGGAGGUUGAGAAAAGUACUGUAAGACAGGAAGAAAGUAAAUGUGCACAUAUUCAUGAAACUCAGUGGCAAUGAGCUGACAUGAUGCAACACCUGUUCCUAAUGGAUUGCAAAAUGAGACAGUGGAAAGAACCCACAGACAAAUUCCUAUUUUUAUUCUGCUGGUGCCAGGCGAGUUAUAUUAUACCUACUUUAAUGUAACUAGAAUCAAAGUUGUUCUGUAUUUAUAGAACAAAUUUUAUUUUCUGCUGUACCUGCCUAGCCUAUUGACUUUGCAUGAAUGUGGGCAACCAUGGGCUUAUUAGAAAGCAAAUAGCAUUGAUAAAGUGUCCUAUCAUCACGUACGGAUCUUUCUGAUAAAUGACAAAAUUCCUCCCGGUAGCUUUUUUUUUUUUUUCUACCUCUCAUCUAAAGUAGCUAGCUGCCUUCCGUUCUAGCAAGGCCGUGCUAAUUACUAAUUUUGGCCAUGAAUCUGUU